rnacentral:rRNA from 1 species
AGUGAACGCUGGCGGUAGCCCUAACACAUGCAAGUCGAACGGCAGCACAGUAAGAGCUUGCUCUUACGGGUGGCGAGUGGCGGACGGGUGAGGAAUACAUCGGAAUCUACUUUUUCGUGGGGGAUAACGUAGGGAAACUUACGCUAAUACCGCAUACGACCUACGGGUGAAAGCAGGGGAUCUUCGGACCUUGCGCGAUUGAAUGAGCCGAUGUCGGAUUAGCUAGUUGGCGGGGUAAAGGCCCACCAAGGCGACGAUCCGUAGCUGGUCUGAGAGGAUGAUCAGCCACACUGGACCUGAGACACGGUCCAGACUCCUACGGGAGGCAGCAGUGGGGAAUAUUGGACAAUGGGCGCAAGCCUGAUCCAGCCAUACCGCGUGGGUGAAGAAGGCCUUCGGGUUGUAAAGCCCUUUUGUUGGGAAAGAAAAGCAGCAGGUUAAUACCCCGCUGUUCUGACGGUACCCAAAGAAGAAGCACCGGCUAACUUCGU